CUUACAUGCAUCAGAAUAAAACAAAUUCAACCAUUGAGCUUGAUACGCCUAAUCAACCAGCAUCACUAGAAUCAAUUCCUGAAGAAUGUGGGUUGGAAUGAAGCAUGUUUUAAUUCAAAAUGGAAGGCAGCUAUAGUAGAGAGAUAAGAGCUUUGGCAAAAAAAUGAGACAUGGGAUCUUAUUUCUCUUCUAUUGAGGAAGAAACUAGUGGGAUGCAAGUGAGUAUUCACAAUUAAACAUAAUGCAGAUAGUUCCAUUGAAAGGUAUAAGGCCAAGUUAGCAGCUAAAGGCUUCACUCAAAUAUAUGUAGUGGAUUAUCAUGAGACUUUUGCCCCUAUUGUAAAAAUAAAUACCAUUAGAAUCUUGUUAGCAAUCUUAAGUGGGACUUAUAGCAAUUUGAUGUAAAGAAUGCUUUUUUGCAUGGAGACUUAGAGGAGGAAAUGUAUUUGGAGAUUCCUCUAGGAUUUGAUGAUAAUAAAACCAAAGGGAAAGUUUGCAAGUUGAAAAAA